rnacentral:rRNA from 1 species
AGCGAACGCUGGCGGCAGGCCUAACACAUGCAAGUCGAGCGCCCCGCAAGGGGAGCGGCAGACGGGAGAGUAACACGUGGGAACAUGCCCUUCAGUUCGGAACAACCAAGGGAAACUUUGGCUAAUUCCGGAUACGCCCGUAAGGGGAAAGAUUUAUCGCUGAAGGAUUGGCCCGCGUCUGAUUAGCUAGUUGGUGGGGUAAUGGCCCACCAAGGCGACGAUCAGUAGCUGGCCUGAGAGGAUGAUCAGCCUCACUGGGACUGAGACACGGCCCAGACUCCUACGGGAGGCAGCAGUGGGGAAUAUUGGACAAUGGGCGCAAGCCUGAUCCAGCCAUGCCGCGUGAGUGAUGAAGGCCUUAGGGUUGUAAAGCUCUUUCGUCAGGGAAGAUAAUGACGGUACCUGAAGAAGAAGCCCCGGCUAACUUCGUGCCAGCAGCCGCGGUAACAC